GCCCUUCCGUUAUAUGAUCAAAUCGCUUUCAAGAAAAAAAUCUGAACUAGUGUCUCCCCUGCAUCUGCUCUCUGCAGUUUAUGCGUCACGCAGUCUGAACUGGCCUAAAGGUCUUCACGAGGCUUAGAAAUACAUCAUCAAAACCCUCCUGGCAUUUCAUGUGUCUGCAGGAAGUGGUUCAUUUUUCAUGCUUUUGUGGGAGGAAUUACACCAUUUAAAAUCAGACUAAGAAAAAAAGAUUCAAUGAAAGAGAAAAGCCUUCUUGUGCAGGCUUGAGCUGAGGUGAACUUUCCAGUGCUUUUCCAGUGUUGCCUCCUGCCCUGCCCUGCCCUUACUCACCGGUUGCAGCAUCUGUACCUGCAGGACAGCGGCUCUGGGUUUCACCGCAGGCCUCUCAAAAAUGCCCUUUGCAGCACAGCAUACCCCCAGGGUCCUCUAGUGCGGGGUUUCUUCCUGUCGUUGGAAGACACGUUGCCAAAACACAGAGUUUUGCUUCUGCCCACGGCUUUGUCUCUCCCCGGCAGCUGUCAGGAGGAUCACUUGUGCGGUUCCCCUCCGCACCCUCACCAUUUGCUUCCUGCCAUCUCCCUGCCACAACGCCCAGAGCUGCAGUGACCUUGAGGCAUCAUGGUGUACACAGCAGUGUCCACCGCAUUGCUGUAGAGCUGCCGGCCCACCCGUGCUCCAUCUGAGAUCCACAGGGAGGGUCCUGGGAGGAAGCUCUUGGACUUCAGCAGAGCAGGAGGUGCCAGUGAGGGCUGGGAACAAAUGCAGAGGAGAGAGGCGCAGCUGAGGUGGCUGCUCACAGCCAUGUGAGGUCAGGAUCCCACAGCACAGAUUUUCUCUUAGGAAUGUUUCAAGUCUUCAUGAGCCUACAGUCAUACCAGUAGUGAUGCCAGGUCACUGUGUUACAGUACAAGGAAAAAUCAGAUGAGAACAAUAUUGGAACUGACCACCUGUGAUUGAAACUGUGUUAAGUUUCAAAGAGCAAGGACAAGAAACUAAGAAAACCAUCACGGACACCAGUUACGCUGCUUGGAAACCCCCUUUACCUUUCCUACCUUGAUUUGAGUAUUGAGGAUUCCAAUCAGUAGAGCUAAGUGAAAUUGAUCAAUGAUUGUUUUUAAAUAAGAAUAUUGAUAAGGUUAUAUAAUCAAAGGACCAAUCAUUAUAAAGGUUAAAUUUAAGAGCAAGCAUAGUGUGCAUAUUUAUGUAAAGAAACUUAUGUAAUGAUGAUUUGACAGAAAAAGUGUAUAAAAACUGAUGGAUUUUAAUACUAGUUCGGACACGCCUUUGGAGGAGCAAUCCCCCGUGUCCCCAGCACUGUAAUAAACGAAGUGCCUGCUUCUUAACGUCA